rnacentral:rRNA from 1 species
CGGAAUCCUGCAUCACAGGUGGUNAUGCUACUGACAAGAGUAACCGGCGCACAGGUGCUUCAUGGCUGUCGUCAGCUCGAUGUCGUGAGAUGUUGGGUUAAGUCCCGCAACGAAUUGGCAACCCUUGUUCCUUUAGUUGCUACGCAAGAGCACUCUAAGGAGACUGCCGGUGACAAACCGGAGGAAGUGGGGAUGACGUCAAGUCCUCAUGGCCCUUAUGGGUAGGGCUUCACACGUCAUACAAUGGUCGGAACAGAGGGUUGCCAACCCGCGAGGGGGAGCUAAUCCCAGAAUAACCGAUCGUAGUCCGGAUUGCACUCUGCAACUCGAGUGCAUGAAGCUGGAAUCGCUAGUAAUCGCGGAUCAGCAUGCCGCGGUGAAUACGUUCCCGGGUCUUGUACACCACCG